GAUGAACGCUGGCGGCGUGCCUAAUACAUGCAAGUCGAGCGAACAGACGAGGAGCUUUCUCCUCUGACGUUAGCGGCGGACGGGUGAGUAACACGUGGAUAACCUACUUAUAAGACUGGGAUAACUUCGGGAAACCGGAGCUAAUACCGGAUAAUAUAUUGAACCGCAGGGUGCAAUAGUGAAAGACGGUUUUGCUGUCACUUAUAGAUGGAUCCGCGCCGCAUUAGCUAGUUGGUAAGGUAACGGCUUACCAAGGCAACGAAGCGUAGCCGACCUGAGAGGGUGAUCAGCCACACUGGAACUGAGACACGGUCCAGACUCCUACGGGAGGCAGCAGUGGGGAAUCUUCCGCAAUGGGCGAAAGCCUGACGGAGCAACGCCGCGUGAGUGAUGAAGGUCUUCGGAUCGUAAAGCUCUGUUGUUAGGGAAGAACAGAUGCAUAAUAAUCUAUGCACGUCUUGACGGUACCUAAACAAAAAGCCACGGCUAACUACGUG
rnacentral:rRNA from 1 species